CGGCUCCGCGCUGCCCGCCGGGCGUCUGGGGGCUCCUGGCGCUGCUGCUGCUGCCCCUGCCCGGGGCUCGCGGAAGACAAUGUAAACCACUAGAACUAGAAAAUGGCAGGUUUCAUUACACGGUUGUCCAGGUUGGUGCAACAGCAAACUUCUCCUGUAAUGAAGGG